rnacentral:rRNA from 1 species
GGGUUAACAUGGUGGCAAGCCGUGGGGCCUGAUGUGUGGUUCAAGCGAUGGGGUGACACAGUGGGGUAGCCAUGCCGCUUAGUGGAUUGUUGGUGUAAGCGUGUAGGUGAUGGUGUAGGUAAAUCCGCACUUGUUAUGCUGAGACGUGAUGCGUAGCCUUAAUUGGUGAAGUUGGUGAUCCCGUGCUGUCGAGAAAAGCCUCUAGCGAUGUAUAUACUCGGCCCGUACCCCAAACCGACACAGGUAGUCAGGUUGAAAAUACUAAGGCGUUCGGGUGAACUGUGGUUAAGGAACUCGGCAAAAUGCCCCCGUAACUUCGGGAGAAGGGGGACCCUAUGGCGUGAACACCCAUUUGCGGUGGGAAGCGUUGUGGGGUCGCAGAGAAUAGAGGGAAGCGACUGUUUAUCAAAAACACAGGUCCAUGCGAAGACGUUAAGUUGAUGUAUAUGGACUGACGCCUGCCCGGUGCUGGAAGGUUAAGAGGACCGGUUAAUCAAGCUUUGCUUGGUGAAGCUGAGAAUUUAAGCCCCAGUAAACGGCGGUGGUAACUAUAACCAUCCUAAGGUAGCGAAAUUCCUUGUCGGGUAAGUUCCGACCUGCACGAAUGGCGUAACGACUUCCCUGCUGUCUCAACCACAGGCCCGGUGAAAUUGCACUACGAGUAAAGAUGCUCGUUACGCGCGGCAGGACGAAAAGACCCCGGGACCUUCACUAUAGCUUGGUAUUGGUGUUCGGUUCGGUUUGUGUAGGAUAGGUGGGAGACUAUGAGGCGUGUGCGCCAGCACGCGUGGAGUCGUUGUUGAAAUACCACUCUGAUCGGAUUGGAUACCUUAACCUUGGCCCAUGAUCUGGGUUGGGGACAGUGCCUGGUGGGUAGUUUAACUGGGGCGGUUGCCUCCCAAAAUGUAACGGAGGCGCCCAAAGGUUCCCUCAGCCUGGUUGGCAAUCAGGUGGUGAGUGUAAGUGCACAAGGGAGCUUGACUGUGAGAGUGACAGCUCGAACAGGGACGAAAGUCGGGACUAGUGAUCCGGCACCUACUUGUGGAUGUGGUGUCGCUCAACGGAUAAAAGGUACCCCGGGGAUAACAGGCUGAUCUUCCCCAAGAGUCCAUAUCGACGGGAUGGUUUGGCACCUCGAUGUCGGCUCGUCGCAUCCUGGGGCUGGAGUAGGUCCCAAGGGUUGGGCUGUUCGCCCAUUAAAGCGGCACGCGAGCUGGGUUCAGAACGUCGUGAGACAGUUCGGUCUCUAUCCGCCGCGCGCGUUGAAACUUGAAGAAGGCUGUCCCUAGUACGAGAGGACCGGGACGGACGUACCUCUAGUGUGCCAGUUGUUCCGCCAGGGGCAUCGCUGGUUGGCUACGUACGGAAGGGAUAACCGCUGAAAGCAUCUAAGCGGGAAGCCUGUUUUAAGAUGAGGUUUCAUUUGAGGUCCCCUAAAGACUAUGGGGUUGAUAGGCCAGACAUGGAAGCACCGCAAGGUGUGGAGUCUACUGGUACUAAUAGACCAAAACAAACACACA